rnacentral:sRNA from 1 species
GAUCAAAGAAACAGAAUAAGUCAAUUAGAAAAUCUUGUCAAGAGUAUGCCAGACAAAUUUUUUAUACCGUUAGGAAUGAAAUAGCUACCAGCUACAAGAAAACUUGUACAAGCCCCAGUGAAUUCAAUGAGUUCCAAAUGAAAGAUCAAAAUAAAGUAUGUCUAAUUUGAAA